GAUGAACGCUGGCGGCGUGCCUAAUACAUGCAAGUCGAGCGAACAGACGAGGAGCUUGCUCCUCUGACGUUAGCGGCGGACGGGUGAGUAACACGUGGAUAACCUACCUAUAAGACUGGGAUAACUUCGGGAAACCGGAGCUAAUACCGGAUAACAUGUUGAACCGCAUGGUUCAACAGUGAAAGACGGUCUUGCUGUCACUUAUAGAUGGUUCCGCGCCGCAUUAGCUAGUUGGUAAGGUAACGGCUUACCAAGGCAACGAUGCGUAGCCGACCUGAGAGGGUGAUCGGCCACACUGGAACUGAGACACGGUCCAGACUCCUACGGGAGGCAGCAGUAGGGAAUCUUCCGCAAUGGGCGAAAGCCUGACGGAGCAACGCCGCGUGAGUGAAGAAGGUCUUCGGAUCGUAAAACUCUGUUAUUAGGGAAGAACAAAUGUGUAAGUAACUAUGCACGUCUUGACGGUACCUAAUCAGAAAGCCACGGCUAACUACGUG
rnacentral:rRNA from 1 species